UACGUAGGGCACAAGCGUUGUCCGGAAUUAUUGGGCGUAAAGAGCUCGUAGGCGGCCUGUUGCGUCCGCUGUGAAAUCCCGGGGCUCAACCCCGGGCCUGCAGUGGAUACGGGCUGGCUGGAGGCAGGCAGGGGAGAACGGAAUUCCUGGUGUAGCGGUGAAAUGCGCAGAUAUCAGGAGGAACACCGGUGGCGAAGGCGGUUCUCUGGGCCUGUACUGACGCUGAGGAGCGAAAGCGUGGGGAGCGAACAGG
rnacentral:rRNA from 1 species